CCUACGGGUGGCAGCAGUGAGGAAUAUUGGUCAAUGGACGAGAGUCUGAACCAGCCAAGUAGCGUGAAGGAUGACUGCCCUAUGGGUUGUAAACUUCUUUUUUAUGGGAUUAAAAUUUUCCACGGGUGGGAUUUUGUAUGUACCAUAUGAAUAAGGAUCGGCUAACUCCGUGCCAGCAGCCGCGGUAAUACGGAGGAUCCGACCGUUAGCCGGAUUUAUUGGGUUUAAAGGGAGCGUAGGUGGAUUGUUAAGUCAGUUGUGAAAGUUUGCGGCUCAACCGUAAAAUUGCAGUUGAAACUGGCAGUCUUGAGUACAGUAGAGGUGGGCGGAAUUCGUGGUGUAGCGGUGAAAUGCUUAGAUAUCACGAAGAACUCCGAUUGCGAAGGCAGUUCACUGGACUGCAACUGACACUGAGGCUCGAAAGUGUGGGUAUCAAACAGGAUUAGAUACCCCGGUAGUC
rnacentral:rRNA from 1 species